rnacentral:rRNA from 1 species
UACAGAGGUCUCAAGCGUUGUUCGGAUUCAUUGGGCGUAAAGGGUGUGUAGGUGGCGCCGUAAGUCGGGUGUGAAAUUUCGGAGCUUAACUCCGAAACUGCAUUCGAUACUGCGGUGCUUGAGGACUGGAGAGGAGACUGGAAUUCGAUGGUGUAGCAGUGAAAUGCGUAGAGAUCAUGAGGAAGACCAGUGGCGAAGGCGGGUCUCUGGACAGUUCCUGACACUGAGACACGAAGGCCAGGGGAGCAAACGGG